rnacentral:lncRNA from 1 species
UUAGUAAACAACCACUGGAUCAACCUGUUUCCCGAUAGCAUUGCCACCUUUUACCCUCCCCUUAUCUCUGACCACUCUCCUUGCCUCCUCGACCUUUUCCAUCUCCUUCCCAAAGCUGGAACCCGUCCCUUCAAAUUCUUCAACUACCUAACCAAACACCCAAAGUUUCAUCAAACAGUUGUUGAGGCAUGGAUUCAGGCCGGAAGCAUUGCAAAUAACCUAUCAGCGUUAUGCUAUAAGCAAAGGAUCAUUAAGAGAAAUCUAAAACUUUUAAACAGAGAGAACUUUUCACAAAUUCAGGUCAGGGUGAGUGAAACUAACCUUUUAUUGUUGGAUGCGCAGGUACAGUCUCUUCAAGCUCCGUCUGCGAUCUCUUUCCAACAUGAACGAGACAUUAGCACUCGCUUGAACUUCCUAAAAGGGAUAGAAGAAAGCUACUUUCGCCAAAAAUCACGGAUUAAUUGGCUU